rnacentral:lncRNA from 1 species
GUAAAUUCUUAGAAGAGAAUUAACCAAACACUCUUUGUUUCUAAGUUACUAGGAGAAAAAGUCUAAGGGUCUACCUAAUCUACUAAUAAGAUACAUACCUAUUUGAAUAUUUUUUUUCUUAAGUAAGUUUUAAAUGUCAAGGCUUCAGGGUCCACUGUUUUCUAUAGUUUUAGUUUGUUCACUUGUUUAUGGUUAGACUCAUUGUGAGCAAUGACUAUCACCCCCACCCCCCCCUUUUUUUUUCCUACAAAUGUGGCUGCUGUUGGGUGCUGAAAUUGUAGGAAAUAGAAUUCCCUAUAAUAAUUCUAAUUUAACUCUCUGUUACAGUUCCUCCCUUGAUCCCCUUUAUGUUUCUUCCUGCCCCCAGGCUGUUUCUCCAGGGGAAGAUGCUGAGGGAACAAACGGCUUUUACUUAUUUGAGCAUUAGGGUCUUUUCUUGAUGAAUUCACUCAUAACAAAAUUUAAUUCAUUUUAACAGAUUCUUACCAAGCCCCUUAGAAUGAACAAAACAGUGAGUAUGUAUGUAGGCAGAAAGACAUGAAUGUCUUUAGAUCUCAAUGUACUUUUAAUAGAUAAGAAAGCAAAAACGCAGACAAUAUAAGUAUUUGACUUGACUGCCAUCUGCCAAUUUAUUAUUAUUAUUAUUAUUAUUAUUAUUAUUAUUAUUAUUAGAGAAGAGUUUAAUCAUAACUAUAUCACUGGGAGGAAGGACAGUAGGAUAUUGAGGACUGUAGUAGUGGAGGUAGUGGGUUAAGUUUGUUAUCCAGAAAAAAGAUUGGGAGCCAUGAGGGAUCUUCAAAUUUGAAUCCUAGCUUGGACACAGGGCAUUUGUUUUACUCUCUGAAUUAUCUUGGCACUCAGAGCGAAAAAAUGGUUGUGAAAACUGC